UCAUCCCGACUUACCAACCCGAUGCAAACUGCGAAUACCGGAGAAUGUUAUCACGGGAGACACACGGCGGGUGCUAACGUCCGUCGUGAAGAGGGAAACAACCCAGACCGCCAGCUAAGGUCCCAAAGUCAUGGUUAAGUGGGAAACGAUGUGGGAAGGCCCAGACAGCCAGGAUGUUGGCUUAGAAGCAGCCAUCAUUUAAAGAAAGCGUAAUAGCUCACUGGUCGAGUCGGCCUGCGCGGAAGAUGUAACGGGGCUAAACCAUGCACCGAAGCUGCGGCAGCGACGCUUAUGCGUUGUUGGGUAGGGGAGCGUUCUGUAAGCCUGCGAAGGUGUGCUGUGAGGCAUGCUGGAGGUAUCAGAAGUGCGAAUGCUGACAUAAGUAACGAUAAAGCGGGUGAAAAGCCCGCUCGCCGGAAGACCAAGGGUUCCUGUCCAACGUUAAUCGGGGCAGGGUGAGUCGACCCCUAAGGCGAGGCCGAAAGGCGUAGUCGAUGGGAAACAGGUUAAUAUUCCUGUACUUGGUGUUACUGCGAAGGGGGGACGGAGAAGGCUAUGUUGGCCGGGCGACGGUUGUCCCGGUUUAAGCGUGUAGGCUGGUUUUCCAGGCAAAUCCGGAAAAUCAAGGCUGAGGCGUGAUGACGAGGCACUACGGUGCUGAAGCAACAAAUGCCCUGCUUCCAGGAAAAGCCUCUAAGCAUCAGGUAACAUCAAAUCGUACCCCAAACCGACACAGGUGGUCAGGUAGAGAAUACCAAGGCGCUUGAGAGAACUCGGGUGAAGGAACUAGGCAAAAUGGUGCCGUAACUUCGGGAGAAGGCACGCUGAUAUGUAGGUGAAGUCCCUUGCGGAUGGAGCUGAAAUCAGUCGAAGAUACCAGCUGGCUGCAACUGUUUAUUAAAAACACAGCACUGUGCAAACACGAAAGUGGACGUAUACGGUGUGACGCCUGCCCGGUGCCGGAAGGUUAAUUGAUGGGGUCAGCGCAAGCGAAGCUCUUGAUCGAAGCCCCGGUAAACGGCGGCCGUAACUAUAACGGUCCUAAGGUAGCGAAAUUCCUUGUCGGGUAAGUUCCGACCUGCACGAAUGGCGUAAUGAUGGCCAGGCUGUCUCCACCCGAGACUCAGUGAAAUUGAACUCGCUGUGAAGAUGCAGUGUACCCGCGGCAAGACGGAAAGACCCCGUGAACCUUUACUAUAGCUUGACACUGAACAUUGAGCCUUGAUGUGUAGGAUAGGUGGGAGGCUUUGAAGUGUGGACGCCAGUCUGCAUGGAGCCGGCCUUGAAAUACCACCCUUUAAUGUUUGAUGUUCUAACGUGGACCCGUGAUCCGGGUUGCGGACAGUGUCUGGUGGGUAGUUUGACUGGGGCGGUCUCCUCCUAAAGAGUAACGGAGGAGCACGAAGGUUGGCUAAUCCUGGUCGGACAUCAGGAGGUUAGUGCAAUGGCAUAAGCCAGCUUGACUGCGAGCGUGACGGCGCGAGCAGGUGCGAAAGCAGGUCAUAGUGAUCCGGUGGUUCUGAAUGGAAGGGCCAUCGCUCAACGGAUAAAAGGUACUCCGGGGAUAACAGGCUGAUACCGCCCAAGAGUUCAUAUCGACGGCGGUGUUUGGCACCUCGAUGUCGGCUCAUCACAUCCUGGGGCUGAAGUAGGUCCCAAGGGUAUGGCUGUUCGCCAUUUAAAGUGGUACGCGAGCUGGGUUUAGAACGUCGUGAGACAGUUCGGUCCCUAUCUGCCGUGGGCGCUGGAGAACUGAGGGGGGCUGCUCC
rnacentral:rRNA from 1 species